GAUGAAGAACGUAGCGAAAUGCGAUAAGUAGUGUGAAUUGCAGAAUUCCGUGAAUCAUCGAGUCUUUGAACGCACAUUGCGCCCCCUGGUAUUCCGGGGGGCAUGCCUGUCCGAGCGUCAUUGCUGCCCUCAAGCACGGCUUGUGUGUUGGGCCUCCGUCCUCCUCCCGGGGGACGGGCCCGAAAGGCAGCGGCGGCACCGCGUCCGGUCCUCGAGCGUAUGGGGCUUCGUCACCCGCUCUUGUAGGCCCGGCCGGCGCUUGCCGACACAUCAAUCUUUUUUCCAGGUUGACCUCGGAUCAGGUAGGGAUACCCGCUGAACUUAAGCAUAUCAAUAAGCGGAGGA
rnacentral:misc_RNA from 1 species